rnacentral:lncRNA from 1 species
AAGAAGAAGAAGAAGAAGAAGAAAAAGAAGAAGAUGAAGAUGAAUAUUAAAGUACAUUAAUGGAAAUGGAAUGAAGUAAUCAAUAAGCAUUGACCAAAGAUAGAGAAGAUCAAGGUCAAACAAUGGUAAACAAAAGUAAGAUGAAGAUUAGAAGUCAAGAAACAAAUAAAAUAUUUUUGGUAUUUUUCAAUAUUAAAAUAAAACUUGAAUU